rnacentral:rRNA from 1 species
GAUGAACGCUGGCGGCGUGCUUAACACAUGCAAGUCGAACGGGAAUUACUUUAUUGAAACUUCGGUCGAUUUAAUUUAAUUCUAGUGGCGGACGGGUGAGUAACGCGUGGGUAACCUACCUUAUACAGGGGGAUAACAGUCAGAAAUGACUGCUAAUACCGCAUAAGCGCACAGAGCUGCAUGGCUGAGUGCGAAAAACUCCGGUGGUAUAAGAUGGACCCGCGUUGGAUUAGCUAGUUGGUGAGGUAACGGCCCACCAAGGCGACGAUCCAUAGCUGGCCUGAGAGGGUGAACGGCCACAUUGGGACUGAGACACGGCCCAGACUCCUACGGGAGGCAGCAGUGGGGAAUAUUGCACAAUGGGGGAAACCCUGAUGCAGCGACGCCGCGUGAAGGAAGAAGUAUCUCGGUAUGUAAACUUCUAUCAGCAGGGAAGAAUUAGGACGGUACCUGACUAAGAAGCCCCGGCUAACUACGUGCCAGCCGCCGCAGUAAAAC